rnacentral:rRNA from 1 species
UACGUAGGGUGCAAGCGUUAAUCGGAAUUACUGGGCGUAAAGCGUGCGCAGGCGGUUGUGCAAGUCUGAUGUGAAAGCCCCGGGCUUAACCUGGGAACGGCAUUGGAGACUGCACGACUAGAGUGCGUCAGAGGGGGGUAGAAUUCCGCGUGUAGCAGUGAAAUGCGUAGAGAUGCGGAGGAAUACCGAUGGCGAAGGCAGCCCCCUGGGAUGACACUGACGCUCAUGCACGAAAGCGUGGGGAGCAAACAGG